AGCGAACGCUGGCGGCAGGCCUAACACAUGCAAGUCGAACGAACUCUUCGGAGUUAGUGGCGGACGGGUGAGUAACACGUGGGAACGUGCCUUUAGGUUCGGAAUAACUCAGGGAAACUUGUGCUAAUACCGAAUGUGCCCUUCGGGGGAAGGAUUUAUCGCCUUUAGAGCGGCCCGGGUCUGAUUAGCUAGUUGGUGAGGUAAAGGCUCACCAAGGCGACGAUCAGUAGCUGGUAUGAGAGGAUGAUCAGCCACAUUGGGACUGAGACACGGCCCAAACUCCUACGGGAGGCAGCAGUGGGGAAUCUUGCGCAAUGGGCGAAAGCCUGACGCAGCCAUGCCGCGUGAAUGAUGAAGGUCUUAGGAUUGUAAAAUUCUUUCACCGGGGACGAUAAUGACGGUACCCGGAGAAGAAGCCCCGGCUAACUUCGUGCCAGCAGCCGCCGUAA
rnacentral:rRNA from 1 species